AGCUCGUGUCGUGAAGUAGUGUUGGGGUUUAAGUCCCGCAACGAGCGCAACCCUUGUCACUAGUUGCCAUCAUUUAGUUGGGCACUCUAGUGAGACUGCCGGUGACAAACCGGAGGAAGGUGGGGAUGACGUCAAGUCCUCAUGGCCCUUAUGGGUAGGGCUUCACACGUCAUACAAUGGUCGGUACAGAGGGUUGCCAACCCGCGAGGGGGAGCUAAUCCCACAAAGCCGAUCGUAGUCCGGAUCGCAGUCUGCAACUCGACUGCGUGAAGUCGGAAUCGCUAGUAAUCGUGGAUCAGCAUGUCACGGUGAAUACGUUCCCGGGUCUU
rnacentral:rRNA from 1 species